UCCACUUCCACCCUUGGUCGUCAGUCGAGCAACGAGACUCCUCCAUCACCCUCAUCAUUCCCAUCAUGAAAUUCAUCGGUCUUUGCAACUCGCCAUUACGGUGUAAUAGUGUCGCUCCAAUCUAAAUCAUUAGAUUCUGUUCUUGACUACUUUACUAAUGAGAUAUGGUAUCGUUCUACACCCCUUUGUUUCUCCAUCUAUAUAUAUCCCUUCGUAAAUCUUCCGUCCAAUCGUGAUCAAAAACCUCCGUCGAAGAAUAUAAAACUAUGGCCAUUAAUCUGAUCAACCCUCCGGUAAGUUUUCUGUCGAGCGGUGCAGGUUAGAGAUUUCUUCUUUUUAGCUCCUGAACUGUGAAUGAUGUAAACUGUAAAUUGCUAAUUCAGCUUAAUCUUGGCCACUGCUUGUGUGUUAGCGAGAAUACAGAGGCCACUGAGGAAGAUUUGCAGGAUGCUGAUAUUCCCAAUUAACAAGCUAUUGCGAGACGCUGCAGCAACCAAGAGAAUUUUUGUAACUGAGUUCAAAGUUUAACUAAAAAACAUCCAAGUGCCAUGUUUCGUGUACCCAACAAUCUUGAAUAAUCGGAACAAUGCUCUUUUGGCAGAGUAUUUCAACUUAUGCGACAGGCUUGAUUCCAAAUAGUGAGCAGGAAACGAGCAUAAGUCGCGUGCACAACAAUAGGCUGUUGUGAUUCAGAAUUACCCUGAUCUUGCUCAGUUGGAUUUUGGUUCCGUUUCUAGGAUUCAGCAAGCUGAAGGUGACAUACAGAAACUUGGAUAGGAUUAUUGUAAGUUGUACUUGAGAGGGUCAACAUGUGAAGCUUUCUCGACACAUGAACAAGAAGAGCAAGCGAAAUGUCGGAUGCAAAAUCAAGCGAGCUUCUUGCUCCUUGCUUUUGUUGGUGGGCCUGCUGAUAGAUGCAUAUAUGUUUUCCCAGAACAAUGACUUCUUCCAUAAAUACUUGCAGUCAGGUAUGCAAUCUAGCUUGGUCUAAGAACAUAAACAAGCUGGUAAGCACGCACUGGAUGGUCCCAAAACCAAAUAACAUACUGGAAAUACCUAACCAUCUCCAAAUUCAAAUUGUAACUCUGACAGGUUACACAUACCGAUUUAUGUUCCUUGCGGUAUCACAUGAAGGAAAAACGAAUGCAAACGGAGCAGGAGAUGAAACCUUCAGGUUCUGGAAUGUCUUCCCGUCCAUGAAAGCUCAGAAAAAGGCACUGAGAUCGGUUGAGAAUAUCAAUCCUGGCUUAUUUGGGAUAUAUAUAUACCAGUAUGAUUAAUGUUAUUUAAAACAACAGGCGCUGGUUCAGCGGACUCGACAGGGCAGCAUUGGCGUUUCCAUUUUCUCCUUUAAGACAUUCCCACCGUCAAUCAGUGAAUUAGGAUCCCAUUCUGGGUCAGAAGUUCUGUCUCAAGGGUUUUGAACAUGUGAAUUAAUUGGAACCUCUCAAUCAUACUUUGAUUAUAAUAGAGAAUCUGGAGCUCCUUGACGGGAUUUGCGGGCAGCCCCUUUAACUGGAGGCAGAAUAAUAUAUCAGUUUCCUCGGGGAAUAUAUACAAUAAUGUUGUAUGUAGUAGUAACAUUAGACUGUUGCUUAUAAAUUACAUCUAGCUCAGGGAAAAAAAUAGUUAAAGUUAUAAUAAUGUAACAAUAAAUAUUAUUGUAUGGUAA